UGCGUAGGGUGCAAGCGUUAAUCGGAAUUACUGGGCGUAAAGCGUGCGCAGGCGGUUUUGUAAGUCAGAUGUGAAAUCCCCGGGCUUAACCUGGGAACUGCGUUUGAAACUACAAGGCUAGAGUGUGGCAGAGGGGGGGUGGAAUUCCGACGUGUAGCAGUGAAAUGCGUAGAGAUGUGGAGGAACACCGAUGGCGAAGGCAGCCCUCGGUA
rnacentral:rRNA from 1 species